rnacentral:lncRNA from 1 species
CAAAGCCAAUGGUGUGAUCACUACUACUGGCCAAGAGCCAUCUGUUGGUGUCUCAGAGGGGGAUACAAUGAGCAGCCGAGAUGCUGUGGGUCUUUUCAUUAAGGACCAUGGCUAUCCUUGGGAAGAUCUUUAUGUUAAACAAGUUAGUAGAGGAAGAUGAUUAUUUAUUUAUUCAUUUGUAUACGUGUGAUCUUUCUGUCUGUAGGCACAUGGGCCUGUCAAGUUUGUAAAUGUCGGCAUGCUCCUUUGGAACAAGAUCUCAUUGGGCCAGCACCAAAAGGCCAUUCUAUGAGUCUAUGAUCAAAAGGGAAGCGGAAGAAAAAAGCUUAUUAAGAAUGGACUGCACUGGGGGAAAUCAAGACCUGAGCAGAUCCUUUUUUAUUUCCAUUCAUUCUCAGGGUGGUUCUUCUCAAACCAAAAGGAGCAGUCAGGUAUAAAAGGGAAGCGAUGCUCGUUAGGGCAGUGUGGGUUCCCAUUCCGGAGCACGCAAAGCCUUCAGCUGGACCUGAAAGCCGGGCAGUGUGCUGGGGUUUGCUCCAGGGCACCACCCGCAGCAUUGGCUUUUCUGGUGCAUGGCAGUGCUGAAUUUGCAGACUGUAGGUUUGGAUUCCCCCUGGGAAGUUCUCAUCUCAUGAAAUGUGGUGCACAAAGCAGAGAAAGGCGGGUGCUGGCUGGCUGUCAGUGGGAGAGGGUUGGAGAUGAAGAAGUGGAAGGAGGGCUUAAGGAGAGCGAUGGAUUUCCUGCGCCCAAAUAACAAAGAAGAGGGAAGAAAACCAACACAAAUGUAAUUUUGUCCUGGCUCAAUGAUGCACUGUCAGUCACUGAGGGAUGAAUUGUGCUGUGCAGCAGUAGUCACCUUCCACGAACGCUUCAGGCUUGAUUUAAUACCCCUCUUCCUAAAAGUAGAAGGUGAAAAAAUGGUUUAGGGGCACACACAGCAGAGCCGGGGGGGGGGGGAGAAAAAA